rnacentral:rRNA from 1 species
AGCGAACGCUGGCGGCAGGCCUAACACAUGCAAGUCGAACGAACCUUUCGGGGUUAGUGGCGGACGGGUGAGUAACACGUGGGAACGUGCCUUUAGGUUCGGAAUAACUCAGGGAAACUUGUGCUAAUACCGAGUGUGCCCUUCGGGGGAAAGAUUAAUCGCCUUUAGAGCGGCCGGCGUCUGUUUAGCUAGUUGGUUGAGGUAAUGGCUCACCAAGGCUACGAUCAGUAGCUGGUCUGAGAGGAUGAUCAGCCACAUUGGGACUGGGACACGGCCCAAAAUCCUACGGGAGGCAGGAGUGGGGAAUCCUGCGCAAUGGGGGAAAGGCUGACGCAGCCAUGCCGCGAGAAUGAUGAAGGUCUUAGGAUUGUAAAAUUCUUUCACCGGGGACGAUAAUGACGGUACCCGGAGAAGAAGCCCCGGCUAACUUCGUG